GUCAGUUCGUCCCUUCCAAUUUGAACCAGAGCGGAAAAGUGAAGAGCAGGACAGCACUGUCGGUCGUUCAGAAGACGAGCAGCAAAGGCGAAAUGCAGAGCAAGAAAUACCUGAUGAGGCAAGAGUUGGGCUAAACUUCUGGUGUACUUGCGGCAAGAGCAUCUCGAUGACAACGGAGCGAGAGAGCGUAUGUUGUCGAGAACUCAGGUUUUUGUCAGCAGAUCUUCAAGUGAGAACACAAGGCUCAGGAAGGCCAUGCAUGCAUGAAGAGCUAGAGGAGGAACACUAGCAGCCGAUGGUAAGGAUGUCCCCAAGCACGCGAUCGGAACUCAGGCAGAUCGGGCCAUUUUUCAGAGGAUCGGAAUCAGGUGAAAAGGACAGGAUUCGGUGGAAGAUUCUCCCUCCACUUCCUCUUCAUGGAUAUCAGGGUUUGCUUGAUGGGAUCGAGGUGGUUGCUGGGGUUCUGGUGGGGGUCCCUCGGUGUCUGAGCUGAGGGACAUUCUGUUGGAUGCCCCUUCACUGCUAGACUGGGACUGAACAGUAGGCUUUUGAUUUGUCCUGUCAUGGUUUUGACCUAGGAAGACAAACAAAGAUUAGUUCAAUUACUGUACAACGAGUCUUAGGGAGAUUUUUUUUUUCAUGAGUAAUUCAUUUCAUUUGACUAACACACCUAUGAUCGAGAGACUUGUGGGUAAUGACAGCAAGGACUACAAGUGUGUAAUUUGGAGGAACCAACCAAGUGGUGCUUUGUUAUUGGACUUCUAUGUUUGUCACCGAUUUUCCAUAAAAAGCACCAUGCUCAAGCAAAAGUUUUAAUUUAAAGAUUACUUGGAAGAACGUUGACUCAUCCUGGCAAAAGGACGCGUAUGCCUUCGCUUUUACUAUCAACCAAGGUGAUCGCUGUCUGUUGUGGCAGUGAUCCCUGAACCAGUCAGUGGACCAAGGCAAAAUGGCUUUUGGGAUA